CGAAUAUCCAAGGUUUCCAGGGUAAAGCUGAUCUGCCCUGGGUAAGUCGGGGCCUAAGGCGAGGCAGAAAUGCGUAGUCGAUGGACAGCAGGUUGAGAUUCCUGCACCCGUAAUGAACAGAACUGUAGUGACACGGAAGGUAAGACAGAGCCGGGAAUGAGAAAACCGGUGCAAGCACAAUAGAUGUGUGGGAGGAAAAACCCCCGCAUAAGUCGAAGGUGUGACGCGGACCGAAAAAGAGUAGGGAAGCUGUUAAGCAAGCCGUCAAGAAAAGCUGCUAUUGUUUCAUUAUGGCCCGUACCGUAAACCGACACAGGUGGAUGGGGAGAGAAUCCUAAGGCCGGCGGAAGAAGUAUUGUUAAGGAACUCGGCAAAAUGACCCCGUAACUUCGGGAGAAGGGGUGCCUGCGAGAGCAGGCCGCAGAGAAGAGGCCCAAGCAACUGUUUAGCAAAAACACAGGUCUAUGCAAAACCGAAAGGUGAGGUAUAUGGGCUGACGCCUGCCCGGUGCUGGAAGGUUAAGGGGAGUGGUCAGGAAACGAAGCCACGAACUUAAGCCCCAGUAAACGGCGGCCGUAACGAUAACGGUCCUAAGGUAGCGAAAUUCCUUGUCGGGUAAGUUCCGACCCGCACGAAAGGCGUAAUGAUUUGGGCGCUGUCUCGACAAUACACCCGGUGAAAUUGAAGUGCCAGUGAAGAUGCUGGCUACCUGCGCCAGGACGGAAAGACCCCAUGGAGCUUUACUCCAGCUUGAUACUGGGACCCGGUAUUGCAUGUACAGGAUAGGUGGGAGGCUAGGAAAUGUGGACGCCAGUCUGCAUGGAGCCGCUGUUGGGAUACCACCCUUGUGGUGCUGGGUUUCUAACCAGAGGCCGUGAACCGGUCUGGGGACAAUGUCAGGUGGGGAGUUUGACUGGGGCGGUCGCCUCCGAAAGGGUAUCGGAGGCGCCCAAAGGUUCCCUCAGAAUGGUUGGAAACCAUUCGAAGAGUGCAAAGGCAGAAGGGAGCUUGACUGCGACACCGACGGGUGGAGCAGGUACGAAAGUAGGGCUUAGUGAUCCGGUGGAAUUUAAGUGGGAAUGCCAUCGCUCAACGGAUAAAAGCUACCCUGGGAUAACAGGCUGAUCACUCCCAAGAGUUCACAUCGACGGAGUGGUUUGGCACCUCGAUGUCGGCUCAUCGCAUCCUGGGGCUGAAGUCGGUCCCAAGGGUUGGGCUGUUCGCCCAUUAAAGCGGUACGCGAGCUGGGUUCAGAACGUCGUGAGACAGUUCGGUCCCUAUCCGGCGUGGGCGUAGGAUAUCUGAGAGGAGCUGUCCUUAGUACGAGAGGACCGGGAUGGACUGACCUCUGGUGUACCGGUUGGCGAUCAACGCCACGGCCGGGUAGCCAUGUCGGGACGGGAUAAACGCUGAAGGCAUCUAAGCGUGAAGCCCCCCUCAAGAUGAGAUAUCCCAUCGUAAGAGUAAGACCCCUUGAAGACGACGAGGUUGAUAGGGCAGGGGUGGAAGUGCCGUAAGGCAUGGAGCUGACUGCUACUAAUCGGUCGAGGGCUUGAUCAA
rnacentral:rRNA from 1 species